CCUACGGGGGGCUGCAGUAAGGAAUAUUGCACAAUGGGGGAAACCCUGAUGCAGCAACGCCGCGUGGGUGAUGAAGGCUUUCGAGUUGUAAAACCCUUUACUGUGGGAUGAGGAAGGACAGUACCACAGCAAAAAGUCUCGGCUAACUACGUGCCAGCAGCCGCGGUGAGACGUAGGAGGCAAGCGUUAUCCGGAAUCACUGGGCGUAAAGGGCAAGUAGGCGGUUGUUCAAGUUGGGCGUGACAGAUCUCGGCUUAACUGAGAGAGGUCGUCCAAUACUGAGCGACUAGAGGGCAGGAGAGGAAAGUGGAACUCCCGAUGUAGCGGUGGAAUGCUCAGAUAUCGGGAAGAACACCAGUGGCGAAGGCGGCUUUCUGGCCUGCACCUGACGCUGAGAGGCGAAAGCUAGGGUAGCGAACGGGCUUAGAUACCCCAGUAGUC
rnacentral:rRNA from 1 species